rnacentral:rRNA from 1 species
CCUACGGGAGGCAGCAGUGAGGAAUAUUGGUCAAUGGGCGCGAGCCUGAACCAGCCACGUAGCGUGAAGGAUGACUGCCCUACGGGUUGUAACCUUCUUUUAUAAAGGAAUAAAGUGAGGCACGUGUGCCUUUUUGUAUGUACUUUAUGUUUAAGGAUCGGCUAACUCCGUGACAGCAGCCGCGGUAAUACGGAGGAUCCGAGCGUUAUCCGGAUUUAGUGGGUUUAAAGGGAGCGUAGAGGGGUUGUUAAGUCAGUUGUGAAAGUUUGCGGCUCAACCGUAAAAUUGCAAUUGAUACUGGCAGUCUUGAGUACAGUUGAGGUAGGCGGAAUUCGUGGUGUAGCGGUGAAAUGCUUAGAUAUCACGAAGAACUCCGAUUGCGAAGGCAGCUUACUAAACUGCCACUGACAUUGAUGCUCGAAAGUGUGGGUAUCAAACAGGAUUAGAUACCCGAGUAGUC